UGGCAUGCAUAAUAUAUACAAUGUAUAAUGCCUCUGGGUGUCUUCUUGUUCAUCGCAAUAUGGUCUUUCGACUUCUGCGCUCUGAAAUGAUUAAUUACUUAGCUUCAUGAAUACCCUGUAGACUAUAGUGUUAUCAUGGUCAUAACUUUAGACUUCAUAAUAGAAUCUCAUGAGCCAUCCUUCCCACACCACCAUGGUAUUAGAAGCUGGAAAUUGGCCUUCUGACUUCGGCUUUAGACAUAAUAAUACAGUCUCCUGGCCAUCUUCCCUGAACAUUAUAAUGCAGUUUCUAGCUUUUCUUAGUAUGCUAUGUUUUCUAGGCAUCAAUUUGGACAUUUCAUUUCAGUCUAUGACCACUAUCCCUGGGAUGUAGUCCUAAUAAACAGAUGAGCACCUGGGGUUUGAUUCUGCCAAUUUCUAGCUUGUUCUCUAUUUACUCUCCAUCUUAACAUUCCAGCAGGCCUUGCAGCAGAGCCUGUGUAGAAUUAUGACAAGCUACAAAAUUUUAAGACUUGAGCAUGCUGGCAAGUUUGAUUAUUUUUUCUACAACGCCAACAAAUAAAGGGAACAAUGGAGUUAUCUAUUUGCAGGAUACAGUUAGGAAAUGCAUUUCUUUAAAAAAAUCAAAAUGUCAGUGUAAGAUAAAGCAUCUAGCCUUUGUUCAAUUCAUCAAAAUUUUUUUUUAUUCUUUAACUUAGUGGACAGACAUGUCCGUUGUGACCAGUGCCUCCUAGAUCAAUAUUAUACUUGGUUCUCUGUGAAAAGAGACUUAACAGAGGCAAAAUGUGACAAUCCAUGACAUCUUCUUAUUCCUGCCCAGGGGACUUUAGUGCUAAUGAUCUGCAAUGGCUAUUGAGGAGAAUGGGUGUUCCCACAAAAAGAGUUUUCUACCUGGCUACAGGGACUCUCCAGCCAUCAGGACUAUAAGGGAAUGAAGAAAAAGAACAGAGCUGAUCAUCACUGCUGUAUACUUUGAGUUAUAACUUCAGUCUUGAAUGAGAAGUCUUAAAGCAUAGCUUCUCUGAUAUUGAAAGUUAAAUAAAUGUCUUCAGCUUAUUUUCUUUUAACUUCCCUCUUCACAGCAUUAAUUCAGAUCUUUUUGUUGACAUGCAGUAGAAGUCACGGAAAGGACAACACAUCUGAAAGCCCACUGCCCAAAUCUAGUUAUACCUGCACAAGCAACAUCAUGUUCUGCUCAGCUGCUGGGACGGGUUUAUAUGAGGGUGUUUAACACUCCCAUAAGGAAGACGUAAAAGAGCAGUUGAAGAUGAGGACCUGCCUUGAGUCUGACAAAGAGAAUAACUCCUCUUAACUCCAGACAUGAAAUGAGAGAAUAACUUUAUCUUAACUCCUGACACCAAAGUAAACAAGAAGAAAGUUAUCCUCCUGGGGUCUAAGUCUUGGGAAACAAGUUUUGUCCAGACUCGCAGGCCCCUCAUCCUCAGGAAGACAUUUGACACCAAGGAGAAGAUGCCCGCAGCAGGGGACAGCCACUGGAGUCCACGCUUCACACUGGUCCCUUUGUCACCCUGGGUAAUUUACAGUAGUUCUCAGAGUACCGUAAGUGCAGGAUAAAACCUUUACCAAGUCUCCUCACAAAUGUAGACAGAAUACUGUCCUGUGAUAAACUUCCAAAUCCAGAGCAUAAAAUGAUAGUGUAUAUUGAUGGUUUUCUUUUUCCUAUUUUUUUCCGUAGUCUGAAUUUUUGUGCUGUGUCUGUUGGAGGCUAGAGUGGUUGCAGACUUUCAGUAUAGACCUUUCUUCAUUAGUGGAGCAGCACCCUCAGGUUGCAAGGCACAGCUGCCCCUCCUACCUGGUUAAUAAUUGAAGAAGCAUUAGCCCUGCAUUGAGAUACUGCUGUUUAGUUUUCAGGUUCACAUCAAAUUCUCAGUUGUUGAUCAUCACAACAGCACUAUCAGGUUAGCAGGGAAGGGAUGGUUAGCGUCAUGUUACAAAGACAUCUUCACAGAGGUUGAAGUCACCCCAUAAGCUAAUAUCUAAGAAAGCCCAAACCCUGAAAGAGGAAUUUCUUUUUUCUUUUUAAUCAAAUUUUAGGGCUCAUGCCAGUUGCCACACUGUGUCUCAGAGUACAAAAAUUCAACAUUAAUGAACCUACAAUCACAGCUUGACCAGAAGUCUCUCUAGUUCAAGGACAAGAAGUUUCUCAUCCAAGAUGCCACAAUACACAGAGCCAUCAUGUCUCCUUACUUAGGUUCCUUUUGGCUGUGACCACUCCUCUGUCUUUUUGCUUUUUUUUUUUUUUUUUUGGUGAUGGCCUUGACUGUGCCUCUAUUGAGUCCUUUUUGCUCAAUCUUUUUUAUUGUGUUAGAAUACAUAUAACAUAAAAUUUGCUAUGUUAACCAUUUGAAGUAUACAGUUUAGUGGUGUUAAAUGCAAUCAUAAUAUUUUACAACCAUCCUCAGGAUCCCCCUCCGUAACUCUUGUCAUCUUGCAAUAUUGAAACUCUGUACACAUUAAACAAUAAUUCUAAACAAUGAUUCCCUUCUACCUCCAGCUGCUGGAAACCACUAAUCUACUUUCUGUGUCUAUGAUUUUGAUUAUUAUGAGUACUUUAUAUAAGUGAAACUGAUAGAUUCAUUCUUGAGCUUAAACAGGAAGAGGAAAAGGAAAAAUGAACUGAUGUUUAGACACAUAGAGAAAAGCAUCCAAGCAUUUAAAUCUUAAUAGGAAAAACAGGAAGGGUCCUUCAAGCCUUGCCCCUGAGGGAACAGCUGGAAGUCAAGCUGUGAUACAAGUAUAAUGAGAGAGACUUGAGGGCAAAGAGAAAGAGGGGGAACAAGAACUAUUGUUCUUGGGAAUUCACAAAAAAAGCAGAAAGUUGAAAUGGUCAAGAAACAUGCAAAAGAUGCUCAAUUUCUCUGAUAAUUAGAGAUUUCAUUUAGAAUCACAUAUAAUGUUAUUCAACAUCAGAAAAUUGACCAAAACAUUUCAAAGUUUGACAAAUUUGAGUACUGAUGGUGUAGAGACAUAGAGGCAUGCAUACAUUGCUCAUAGGAAUAUAAAUUGGUAAAUCACUUUAGAAACUAUUUGGAGAUAUUUAGUAAAGUUGAAGACCUAGUUACUGUACUACCCGUAACUCCAUAUCAGCAUAUUGAUU